rnacentral:rRNA from 1 species
ACUCUUGCUACAUAAGUAGAGUAGAGGAAAGUUUUUUCGCUUCACGAUGAGCCUGCGGCCUAUUAGCCUGUUGGUAGAGUAAUGGCCUACCAAAGCUACGAUAGGUAGCCGACCUGAGAGGGUGACCGGCCACAUUGGGACUGAGAUACGGCCCAGACCC